GUGUUAAAACAGGCAAAACAAAACAAGUGCACAUCAAGAUAGAGCCAAUUAAGGGGAAGGCAGCUCGGAGGGCGGGUGGGAGGCAGCCACCUCGCCGAGCACAUGGGGAGCGGGAGCGCAUCGCCCCACCUCGAGCCGUCCCUGAGCCUUCCGAGCUCUCCCAGGAGGACAACGGGGAAUUAUUCCUAUAAACACAAACGUGCGUGUGCGAGGAGCUGCUGGGUAACAGCACGGCCCCGCGAUUUUAACGUCGAAGGGAGCACCGGGUUUCCAUCCCGUGUACCGAGAGGGUCAGCGGAGACCGUUCCCAUCCUUGAGCAACUUUCGUCUCAGGGUGGGGUGAGCCCGGCAGCGGCACCUCGGGAAACUGCGCGGUUACGGAGCUGCGAUGGACGGAUCCCGCUUUAGAGCCUCUCUGGCUUUGCGCGUUACUGCUCAAACGUAUCGCAAAACCAGAAACGCUUUGUGACACCCAAAACAAUAAAAGAAGGGCGGACGGCGCCGUCCAACCUCCCGCAGCCACGAGCACAGCGGAUCCGGCACGGGAGAGUUCGGGCAGCGCGGAGCGGUGCGCUUCGGCCAAGGGUGGCACCGGGAUCCCAGCGCAGUGCCGCACUCCGCGCGGCCGGGCUUUACGCACAGCGCAGUACGCGGGAGGUGUCUUUACGUUUAACGUUUUAAUUUGGACAUGCUAAUUAGGCUGUGGGUCUCCACGGUUCUAUCGGCGGAUAGCUGAUCGCUUCCCUCUGCGAGGAAGUGACUGCUAAAUACAUUUCCCGGCCCCGAUCUCCGUUCCCAGAAGCCCGUCUAGCAGAACCGUCCCGUCGGGCGAAACGGACCUUUAAUAAUGGAAGGCCGAGGGAGGUUCUGCGCAGCGGCGCACCGCCUCGGGCACGGCCCCAACGCGGCCCUCUGCAGCGGAGCCAUCGAAAUAACUCCGUGCCCAGCGAACUUGUUGCUCGCUUUCAGCUCCUCCGCUCACCCCGGCUCGGGUCGGUGCCAGGCGAGGGGCAGAGGCAGCCUGGGGGAGAAGCCGCCGCUGUCGGGGUGAGAAACUUCCCGGGCUCCAAAGCCGCCCGCUCUGGGCGUCGAGGGGCAGCGGCCGCUCCGCUGCUGGGAACUGCGCCCUGGCCAUGUGUUUUUCCCGUGUGGAACGUUGCUCGCAAGUGCGGGAGGUGGAAAGUUUUGUUCACGUCAUUAUCUCAAAGCUUUCCCCGCGCGGUCAGUGGACGCAGAGGCUUCACUCCGUUUUCCGAAUGAAAACCCACGGACGCUUGAUGUGAAAAGUGCAUGCUCCCGUGGGCCGUGCUUUCCCCGAUUACUUUCUUUUUUCUUUUUCUUUUUUUCUUUCACUUUCUUGGCUCCGUCCCGCCAGGAUCUCUACGUUUACGGGCUGUACGGUUUCCAGGGCUCCAAUGGGGCUUUCCCUGAUGGAGGCGAGGAACAGAACUUUCCCACUCGCUCGGAAACUGCCGAGGAUCCGGCGGGGGGAGCACACAAAGAGGCCCCAAAUCCCCCCCGGGGCUCAGGGACAUCCCCUGCAGGUGCAGGACCAAAGCUGCAGGGAUGGCCCAAAGCGGUGCAUGUGUCGCUCUCGUCCCCUAUUAUGAGCGCUACGGGAGUGAAACGGGGGGUGGGGAGCGGGUUCUUGGGACAGCGGUUCUUGAGCCCACGCACGUUGGUGAAGGGAAACGCGGGGCCGUGCGCGCCGUCGGGCUGAGCCAGGGUUAAUGCCUGCGGGCCCAGACACGCUGUGCUCCGGGGGGGGGGGGGUGGUGGUGGCGAGGGGGCUCUGCCAGCUGCUCCCGCAGCGUGGGGAGCGGGAGGGGCGGAAAGGAGGAGCCAUCAGCUUAGGGCACACAAAAACAUUUAAAAAAAUAAAAUAAAAAAAAUAUAUAAAAAGACUACUUUUCCAGGCUUAACACAGCCAUUAAAUAUUAAAAGUUCAAAAAAAAUUAUAUAUAUAUGUAUAUAUAUAAAAGACCACGAGUCGUUUUAUUGCAUCUCCACGGGCUUAAGCGCUUUAUUUGGGCGAUAAAAAAUAUUAAAACAAACAAAUAAAUAAAUCAAAAUCGUGUGUGUAAUUGGUGCCCUCACUCCCUUGACGGCCUCGGAUCCCUCGCAGGUAUCGCCCCCCGAUCCCGCAGCUCCACCCCCAGCAAUCCCG
ensembl:lncRNA